UUAUUAGUAGUAUAAUUAUUACGGCUCCCCUCCAAGGAGAAAAACUCAUUAGAGCUAGUUAU
rnacentral:tRNA from 1 species